rnacentral:tRNA from 1 species
GCUCAAGUAGCUCAGUUGGUAGAGCACCUCCUUGGUAAGGAGGAGGUCACCGGUUCAAGUCCGGUCUUGAGCUCCA